rnacentral:rRNA from 1 species
AGAGUUUGAUCAUGGCUCAGAAUCAACGCUGGCGGCGUGCCUCAGACAUGCAAGUCGAACGCGAAAGUCCCCUUCGGGGGACGAGUAGAGUGGCGUCCGGGUGAGUAACACGUGAGUAAUUUGCCUUCGGGUGGGGAAUAACAGCCGGAAACGGCUGCUAAUACCGCAUAACGCAGCGGCACCACAUGGUGACAGUUGUUAAAGCGGGGGAACUUCGGUCCUCGCGCCUGGAGAGGAGCCUGCGGCGGAUUAGCUAGUUGGUAGGGUAACGGCCUACCAAGGCAACGAUCCGUAGCCGGCCUGAGAGGGCGGUCGGCCACACUGGCACUGACAUACGGGCCAGACUCCUACGGGAGGCAGCAGUCGGGAAUUUUGGGCAAUGGGCGAAAGCCUGACCCAGCAACGCCGCGUGAAGGAUGAAGUUUUUCGGAAUGUAAACUUCACAAGAAUGGGAAGAAUAAGUCUGGGCUAAUAUCCCUGACGAUGACGGUACCAUUUGUAAGCUCCGGCUAACUCCGUGCCAGCAGCCGCGGUAAUACGGGGGGAGCAAGCGUUGUUCGGAUUUACUGGGCGUAAAGGGCGCGUAGGCGGCGCAACAAGUCACUUGUGAAAUCUCCGGGCUUAACUCGGAGCGGCCAAGUGAUACUGUCGUGCUAGAGUGCGGAAGGGGCUACUGGAAUUCUCGGUGUAGCGGUGAAAUGCGUAGAUAUCGAGAGGAACACCUGCGGCGAAGGCGGGUAGCUGGGCCGACACUGACGCUGAGGCGCGAAAGCUAGGGGAGCGAACGGGAUUAGAUACCCCAGUAGUCC